rnacentral:lncRNA from 1 species
AAUGAUGAUGAUUAUGCCCUAGAAAUCGCUGAAAGCAUGCCAGAACUACGCCACCUCCACCUUUAUGGGAACAACCUAAGUGACACACGCUUGUAUGCCAUUCUUGAUGGUUGUCCUCACCUGGAACGAGUGUUUACAAACGUGCUUCCAGCUUAAACUUGUCGGAGAUUUGGAAGAUGUUUUGAGAGGAUCAAAUACUUUAGACACAUCAAAUCAUGACUCAACCUUUGAUCACCCAUUUGAUAUCACUUUUGUCAAUGACUUGGACAACAUUGAGGUUUACUAUGACUUUUAUCGGGACUAGAUAUUAUAUAUCUCUUUGAACACAAGUUGCUUUUUAUGGUCAUGUCAGUAUGUCACAUUAUGAACUUGUUCAUGUCUCCUCUAGUCCUCUUUUCUCUAUGUUGGUUUGGUAGUGUUUCAAAGUCCCUUAUUUUCUUUGUACAUUUUAAGUUUGUAGUGCGUGAUUGUAACUCGCGUACGAUGCAGAAAUUGUUUCUUAAGAAAAUGUUUUCACAAAACACACUUUUUAAAGUGUUUCUUCUGACUUUUGGACAAAAUCAAAAUGAGUUCUCAUGGAUUUGCCAAAUAGUAUAUUAUUUUGACCAAAAUACAUUUUUAACUAAAUGAACACAACUAUUCUCUCAUUUUCUUCUAGCUAUCUUCCCCACAAAAAGAGAACAAAUAUAAAAUUUAUGAAGAUAAAAUAGUAAUAAUAAAAAGAAUUUUUUUGGCUUAGAGCCUAAGCCAAAAAAAUAAAAGAACUAAAAUAAAUCAGUUUCUUAAUUUAUUCUGUUUUCUUCUCUCACUUUCUUUCAUUGUUCUGAUUGACAUUGAAAGAAAGUGAGAGAAAAAAAAAUUGAUACUGAUUCUGAAACAAUUUUGUUUGAAAUUGAAACUGCCUCUAAGUAGGAAUUUUGAUAGUAUAAUAAAAUGUGCCUUGCCUUCCAUGAAUUUAAAUAAUGGUUGAAAACUAGUUUAUGUUAUCGUAAAAAAACAAUUAGAAAAAACCUUUGUCAUGGUUAAUGAAAAGAAUUAGUAGGUUAAUUAGCAGAAGAAGAUCAUUUGUUCAUAGAACUCUUGUACAAGACUGGCCUACAAAAUUGCAUCAUGACUUCAAAACAGACACUGAAAUCAACACGCGUUCCAACAAGUUCAAAAUGAUUUCAAAAGAAUUUUCUUCAUAGUUGAUACUUGAUAGCAUGCCCAAACUCGCUUGUUUUGUCUAUGAUGUGGUUUUUGUUGGUCUUGUCAAUUUAUGAACUAGUUCAUAUCUCCUCUUUUCUCUAUGUUGGUAGUUUCAAAUUCCUCAUUUCCUUAUGAUUUUUAAGAACUUUAUCCAACUUCUUACUAACUAAAUCCUCCUCUCGCUUGUUACUCCACGUGAAUAGCGGACUAUGAGUCCUCAUAUCCACUAAAGAACAAUACCGCCCACACCACUUCUUGGAAAUCUUGCAUGCCCGAAGUAACCAGAAGAGAGAAGAAUCGGAUCGUGUUCUUCAAAGUCAAGCGUCUCAUUGAACUCGCCUAGAAUAAUUCACGGUUUGCCCCGAAACGAUGAAUACAAUUUAUUCAUUUAACUAACCAUAUUUUUUAUUUAUUGGUUAUUUAAUUAUAUCAAAGUUAACAUAUUUUUUAAAAAUAUAAUUGAUGAUAAAGCAUUAACAAAACCGAACCUAAUUCUUUUAAAUCUAUAUUUUGUUGGAUAAGUUUGAUUUUUUUCCUGCUAGAUAGAUUACUAUAUAAAACUUUAUUUGGUAGAAAAUCUUAACAUUAAAACAAAAACAAAAAAUCAAACGGAAUUAUUAUUUUUACUUAAAUAGAAACGAGUAAAAAAAAAUAACGAGUCCAAGAUUGUUCAUGACGAUAUCAUUGAGGUGGUGGCAAAAGUGUUUAUGAGCGCGUGUAUUUACUUAGGCCUUAGAAAAUCAAGCAAACAUUAGCGCGUGAUUGUUAUCUGCGAUAUAUGCGGCUGGUCUUGCUUGAUUCUUCAGGAGUAUUUAGACCUAAUUAGACGUGGCAUGAAUCGUACCGUAGACACAUAAUACUACGAUGACCAAAUGUCCGAAACAAUACACUUCACUUCUUAUUCACUAAUUUGACCUAAUCUUAUCCUCAAAAACGACAGCCUCCUCUUUUUCAGAAAAGAAAAUGACAGCCUCCUCUUUUUGAGAAGAGAAAAUGACAACCUCCACUACGUUGCUGUCGUUGUUCAUGAAAGAAGAUGAAGAGCAAAGAAAAGAGCAACGAAACUGGUUGGAUCUUCCGCCGGAGUUGACGACUUCGAUCUUGCUCCGACUUAGCGUGACUGAUAUACUGUUUAACGCUCAGAAGGUGUGCAGACAAUGGCGACGCGUCUGUAAAGACCCUUCGAUGUGGCAGAAAAUCAACUUGCGAGACUGCCUAUUCUAUCGGUUCGAUUUCGAGGGCAUGUGUCGUCACAUUGUUGAUCUCAGCCAGGGUGGCUUGCUAGAGAUCAACAUUGGACACUUCGUGAGCGAUUCUCUCCUCAGCUACAUCGCCGAUAGGUUCUCUCUCUCUCUUCUCUCUAUUCCUUUCGCAAGCUACGUUUGAACUGUUUUUCAUGGAAAUCUCCAAAUGCUGUUUAGAGAAAUUAUGGAUUUUAUUUGAUUUCACUGAUCUGUGAAUUAGACACAAAAUGUCCCAGUAUAAGAAAUCUCUGAUAUGUGUUUGUUCCUUUUUCUCCUGAGGAUUAAUUAGGGCAAAAUUUUGAUAACUUAUAAUCGUUUUUUUUUUUUGUUAAUCAUGUGUUAAUUAAACUCAGUUUAUCAUGUCUUUUUAAUUUCCUUUUACCUGAUCUGGUGAUCUGCAAUGAAUGGACUUUGGAUAUUCAUUUACUCAAAGUUUUCUUUUAGGUACUCUACCUUUGGGGUUUGACAUGCACGGAUAUGAAGGCUAAUUUUGAUGCCUUAAUAGUCUUUUAGAGUAAAUGGUUUCGAUUCUCAUGCGGUCAUGCCUUAUCUAAUAGUGUUUUAGAGUAAAUGCCUUAAUAAUGGUUUAGAUAUAAAGGCUAAUUGCUAUGCUAUGACGCUGUUAGAAAUUUAUAAUAGUCCUUUAAUUGUUCUCACAUUGUUCAAGUCUUGUUUCGUUUCACACCGUUAUUAUCAUCAUAUAUCACUUUACUUGUCAUGGUUAAAGAAAACAAGUAGUAAUCAGGUUAUUAGCAUAUAUCAUUAGCUUGUAGAACUCUUAUGAUAGACCACUUACUUAAAGCAUCAUUGUUAAUUUUCAUGCCUUAAAAGUAUUUUAGGGUAAACGGUUUUGAUUUUCAUGCCUUAAUAGUGUAUUAGAGUAAAUGCCUUAAUUUUUAGAUAUAUAUGAAGGCUAUUUCCAUGCUAUGACGCUGUCCAAUCUCACAUUGUUCGAUCGAGUCUUGUUUUGUUUCACUGUUAUUACUCUAUCAUCAUAUAUAACUAUACUUUACUUGUCAUGGUUAAGGAAAACAAGUAGUUAGGUUAUUAGCAUAUAUAUAUAAGAACAUCAUUAGCUUAUAGAACUCUUAUGGUUUCGUUUUUUUUAUAACCUAUUGUUGUUAAUCUUCUUCCUAGUUUAUGAUUUAACUCUUCACGUAAUUAUUUGCAGAUCAAGUAAUCUGAAAAGUCUUGGACUUUCAAUCUAUGAACAAAUGACGAACGAAGGAGUUAUGAAGGGAAUUGCAAAAUUUCCAUGGCUUGAAACCCUCGAGGUCUUCCAUUCAUCGUUUAAAUUGGAUUUGAAGGCUAUAGGCCACGCUUGCCCACAUCUAAAGACAUUGAAGCUAAACUUCUCAGGCUGCCCAGGGCAUGAAAUUUAUCUUAUAAGUCAGUUAGAUUUCAUUCCCCCUCCCGUCGAAUGUGAUGAUGAUGCCCUAGCAAUCGCUGAAAGCAUGCCGAAACUACGCCACCUCCAGCUUAUUUGGAACGGACUGACCAACACUGGCUUGAAUGUCAUUCUCGACGGUUGUCCUCACCUGGAAGACCUUGAUGUGCGCAAGUGUUUCAACAUUAAACUUGUCGGGAAUCUUGAGAAGCGAUGUUUGGAGAGGAUCAAAGAGUUGAGACGCCCCGGUGACUCAACCGCCGAUUACCCAUAUAAUAUCGGUGUGUCGACAACUGUGCUUCAGAUCAUGAUUAAAUGUGGAUUCAUUCCGAGACACAGGGUUGCUUGUUGAUGGUCUUGUCAACUUAUGAACUCGUUUAUGUCUCUUCUUUUCUCUAUGAUGCCAGUGACUAUUAUUGGUAUUAGAUACUGAAUCUUUCUGAACAAUGCAGAGAACAUGUGGUUUUUGUUGGUUUUGUCAACUUAUGAACUUGUUCAUGUCUCCUCUUUUUUUUUCUCUAUGUUGGUAGUUCUUAUUUCCUUCUAAACUUUUUAAGCUUUGAGCGCGUGACUGUUGCUCGCGAAAACGAUGCAAUGGUUUUUGAUUUUUCAUAGGUGUGUAGAUCGUGGCGCGGAGUCUUUAAAGACCCUUGGAUGUGGCGGAGCAUUGACUUAAGAAACCGCAGAAGCUCGGCAAAAAUGAAGCAGAAGCUCGAUAUCAUGUGCCGUCACGUUGUUGAUCGGAGCCAGGGAGGCUUGGCUGAGAUCAAAAUUUGGAACUAUGGUUCUAAUGGUCUCCUCAAUUACAUAGCCGAUAGGUUCCACAUCUCUCUCUUCUUCCAUAUGACUCACACGCACGCAAGUUUUGGUUUUCUUAAAGUGCUUUUGAUUUCACUCGUUCAAUGUGACGAGAGUGAUUGAGAAUUGAGGAAAAUUUUGUUUGCUUAUGACUUUGUUUGGAGGAUUUUGUUAUCUAAAUCUCGAAUCUCUGAUAAAAUGCACUUCUUCACGUUGAGUGGUUUUGUUAACGAAAACUUUUAAAGUUAAAUUUUAUUGGGCAAGUUUAAACUUGUUCUUUCUAGUAAUUUAAUUUAAUAUGUAAACUUUUAUUUGGUAUAAAAUCUUAGCAUUGAAACCUAAAAACAAAUCAAAUCGAAUUAUACUUUUACUUAAAUAGAAACGAAUAAAAAAAACAUUAGCGCGUGAGUGUAUUUGCCUAAUUAUACGUGGCAUGGAUUGUACCGUAUACUACGACGACCAAAUAUUUGACUUGGGGACGGAAGCACAAAGGUAGACAUCACUUCUUUUAUACACAGAUUUGACCUAAUUUUACCCACAAAAAUGACAACCUCCGCUUUUUCAGAAAAGAAAAUGAAAACCUCCUCUCCGUCGCCGAUGAAAGACGAAGAGCCAAGAAACUGGGCGGAUCUUCCGUCGGAGUUGACGUCUUUGAUCCUGAUCCGUCUUAGCGUGGCUGAUAUUCUGGACAACGCUCAGAAGGUGUGCAGACCGUGGCGACGCGUCUGUAAAGAACCUUCGAUGUGGCGGAAAAUCGACAUGAGAAGCCUGAUCAGAGAUAGGGGAAUGCUCGACCCCUUAGCUAUCAUGUGCCGUCACGCCGUGGAUCGCAGCGAGGGUGGUUUGGUCAAAAUCCACCUUGGGAACUUCGUCAACGAUGAUCUUCUCGACUACAUCGCUGAUAGGUUACCUAUCUUCUCUCUAUCUCUUACCACUCGCUAUGUUUGUUUCAUGGGAAUCUCUCCAAUUUUUUAGAGAAAUUGAUGGCUUUAGACAAAUAAAUAUGUGUCGGUAUAUAUUUUGAGUAUCUGAAAAUGUGUUUGUUCCUUUUUUUUCGUGAGGAUUAGGGCAAAACUUUGUUCAUUAAUUAUAAGAGAUCCCCAUUUAAUUAUAAUCGUUGAUUUUUAUUUUUAUUUUGUUUAUCACUCGUGUUAAUGAAACUCCACUUAUCUUGUCUUUUUAUUCCCUGUUACUGGAUUUGCUAUGAAUGCACUUUGGAUAUUCAGUUACUCUUACUCGAGAAUGUAUGUCUUGCAACUUAAAGUUUUCUUCUAAUGUACUCUACGUCUGGUAUGAAUGCACUCAUGUUUGCAACUCAAUGUUCAUGCCUUUAUAAUGUUUUAGGAGUCAAAAAAAAAAUCAGUUUUAUUUUGGAGUCACUGGUUAUAUGAUGAUGUUAUGAUAGUCCUUAGUUCUCACAUUGUUCGAUCGAGUCUUGUUUUGUUUCACAUCGUUAAUUACUGUCAUAUCAUACAUAAUUACUUGUCCUUUGUCAUGGCUAAUAAUGAUAACAAGUUGUUAGGUUAUUAGCAUUAUAAGAAGGCUAUUAGCGUUAUACAAUUCUUAUCAUAGACUUGCUUAGUUGCUUAAAGCAUCUUUAAAGUUUGAUCUUUUAGGUCCAAAUUGAAACAAAUGGUUUGCUCUUCUGUGCUGUUCUUAUUUACAUGCUUCUGAGUUGAUUAGUACUAUGAGAAUUUCUUAUGUUUUUUUUUUUUAAGAACGUAUUGUUGUUCUUCUUAUCGUUUAUGAUUUAACUCGACACGCUAUUAUAUAUUUGUAGAUCAAGGAAUCUGAGAAGUCUUGGACUUGGAAUGUGCUUUCCAAGGGUGACGAGGCCAGGACUUAUGAAUGCAAUCACAAAACUUCCAUUACUUGAAACCCUCGAGGUCUCACACUCAUGUUUAAACCUGAGUUUGGAAGAUAUAGGCCACGCUUGCCCACAGCUAAAGACAUUGAAGUUAAACUCCUCAGGGGGUUUCUGGAACUCUCGCAAUGAUGAUGAUUAUGCCCUAGAAAUCGCUAAAAGCAUGCCAGAACUACGCCACCUCCACCUUUAUGCGAAUAACCUAAGUGACACACGCUUGAAUGCCAUUCUUGACGGUUGUCCUCACCUGGAACGAUUGAUUACAGAUGUGUUGCAAGCUUAACCUUGUCGGAGAUUUGGAGAAGCGAUGUUUUGAGAGGUUCAAAUACUUUGGACACACCAAAU